rnacentral:rRNA from 1 species
CCGGCGAUGUCCGAAUGGGGAAACCCAGUGCAAUUCGUUGCACUAUCGUUAACUGAAUACAUAGGUUAACGAGGCGAACCGGGGGAACUGAAACAUCUAAGUACCCCGAGGAAAAGAAAUCAACCGAGAUUCCCCCAGUAGCGGCGAGCGAACGGGGAGCAGCCCAGAGUCUGAAUCAGCUUGUGUGUUAGUGGAACGGUCUGGAAAGUCCGACGGUACAGGGUGAUAGUCCCGUACACCAAAAUGCACAGGCUGUGAACUCGAAGAGUAGGGCGGGACACGUGGUAUCCUGUCUGAAUAUGGGGGGACCAUCCUCCAAGGCUAAAUACUCCUGACUGACCGAUAGUGAACCAGUACCGUGAGGGAAAGGCGAAAAGAACCCCGGCGAGGGGAGUGAAAAAGAACCUGAAACCGUGUACGUACAAGCAGUGGGAGCACCUUCGGGUGUGACUGCGUACCUUUUGUAUAAUGGGUCAGCGACUUAUAUUCUGUAGCAAGGUUAACCGUAUAGGGGAGCCGCAGGGAAACCGAGUCUUAACUGGGCGUUAAGUUGCAGGGUAUAGACCCGAAACCCGGUGAUCUAGCCAUGGGCAGGUUGAAGGUUGGGUAACACUAACUGGAGGACCGAACCGACUAAUGUUGAAAAAUUAGCGGAUGACUUGUGGCUGGGGGUGAAAGGCCAAUCAAACCGGGAGAUAGCUGGUUCUCCCCGAAAGCUAUUUAGGUAGCGCCUCGUGAACUCAUCUUCGGGGGUAGAGCACUGUUUCGGCUAGGGGGUCAUCCCGACUUACCAACCCGAUGCAAACUACGAAUACCGAAGAAUGUUAUCACGGGAGACACACGGCGGGUGCUAACGUCCGUCGUGAAGAGGGAAACAACCCAGACCGCCAGCUAAGGUCCCAAAGUCAUGGUUAAGUGGGAAACGAUGUGGGAAGGCACAGACAGCCAGGAUGUUGGCUUAGAAGCAGCCAUCAUUUAAAGAAAGCGUAAUAGCUCACUGGUCGAGUCGGCCUGCGCGGAAGAUGUAACGGGGCUAAACCAUGCACCGAAGCUGCGGCAGCGACACUAUGUGUUGUUGGGUAGGGGAGCGUUCUGUAAGCCUGCGAAGGUGUGCUGUGAGGCAUGCUGGAGGUAUCAGAAGUGCGAAUGCUGACAUAAGUAACGAUAAAGCGGGUGAAAAGCCCGCUCGCCGGAAGACCAAGGGUUCCUGUCCAACGUUAAUCGGGGCAGGGUGAGUCGACCCCUAAGGCGAGGCCGAAAGGCGUAGUCGAUGGGAAACAGGUUAAUAUUCCUGUACUUGGUGUUACUGCGAAGGGGGGACGGAGAAGGCUAUGUUAGCCGGGCGACGGUUGUCCCGGUUUAAGCAUGUAGGCUG